rnacentral:lncRNA from 1 species
UACAAUUAUAUGUACGUAUGCAUUUGUUGAGACCUGUGCGGACAUGCGCCACAUAAUAUAUAAGUAUGUACUUAAAUUAUUCUGCCUUCACUCUCGAAUUUUCUUUUAACCCUUAUCACUAAUUUGAGAACCAAAGAGUUCAAUGAAUGCCUACUCUUGUCACUAACUCGAGUAACAGAGAGUUUAAGAUCAAAGAACUCCGAUAUUCCACCAAUCUUGUUAUUUGUUUUCCUGUUUGAGUUCCUAACAAUUCUCACAACACAAUAAUAACCAAACAUAAAAAUUAUGUUCGAGUACAGAAACUUCAAGCAAUCAGUUAAUGCAUCCUAUCAUUGUAUUUGUCUUGUCUCCUGUUCCUGUUUCUCAGCAUAUAUCCAAUACAACAGUUUUCUCUUUUUCGCUAGCUCAAGGCUUUCUGCAAAAGAUCAAAAUUCUGGGGUGAAUUUCCCCACUUAGCCAUCACUUCUCGAGCCAAAAGAAAUAAUCAUUAUAUAAAAAUGUACAAAACUGAUCCAUAAACUACUAGUAAGGUCAAUUCUCUACUGUAAAAACCUGUACAGAACAAGUAGAUUGGACAAGAGACUGAGUGAUUCUGAUUUGGCUGAAGUAAAAACUACAUUAGUAAAGAAAUAUCAUGGAAAGAAGCCAACUGUAUGAUUUAUGGUGGAAAAGUUGGUUAUUUGGGUUGUAUGAACUCUCUUCUGCAGCCAGCUCAAACUUAUUAAUACGGCAGCUUCAUUUUCUUCCAAACUUGUCUGAACAACAUAUUGUACUCACUACGAUGAACUCCUCAAUUUAGCCUUCAGAAAGAGAAGGAAUAUAUGUCACUAUAUUUGAAGUAAUUACAACCGGUCGUGUGUGUGUGUGUGUGUGUCAGAGUGAUAUAAACUUGAGAAGACAUACAACCAGGACUAUAUUUAACUUGAAAAUCCAUUGACAUAAAGAAAGCUUGGUUGGGAAGAUAUGCUUCAGGAAUUUUACAUUGAUCCAAGAUAUGAAUGUGGAAUAAUGUACUAAUAGCUAUAUAAUACAUAUAAAAAGAGGUAGACGCACUAGCAUAAACUGGACGUGACUUGCCCAAAAAUAUAGACCACAAUUCAUGAAACACAGAAUAUUUCUGUCCAUGCAAAUAGAAUAGUUGUCAGUUUACAGUUUUCUAGUUGAUAUGGACCCUAUAAUUCAAGUUUUUCUCUCAUCAUAAUGUCACGGCAUACCAUAUUUAUACUACCAAAGCAGGCUGCACUAGAAAAUACAAUAUAUCAUCACAUUAUAUAUCGCUUCAUUUCCUUCCUCAAACUUAAGUUUAAACCCUAACAAUGACACGAAGAUAUGUGUAUAUAUAUGCAAAUGAAGUAAAGAACAUGUAGCUUAGAUAGUAUGAGUUUUUUUUUCGUUAGAGUCAAUAGUUCAAGUUUGAGUUCUACAUAUGCGUAAAUACCAUAAAAGUAGCUUACCUAAAAAUUAUUUAACUAUCACUAUAGGGUCUAAAUUCGUUGUAUAGCCCUGUGGGAACCAUACUAACAAUUGAUCUUUUUCAACUAAUUUAUUAAAGUUAUACUGAAGGUUCUGUAAUAAAUAUCCAAAAUUAUACUGAUGGAUGGAGAAUGUUGGUAAAAGUAUAUAAACAAUGCACACAACCUUUGGCAUUUGAAGUUUGUAAAUGGUUGAUGCUGCUUUGACAUAUAGGUUAUACCAACUGCUCCCAAAAAGCAAUCCUAAUCAUUUUAUACUAAUAAUUUAAUUUAUUUAUAUUAUUAAUUAUGUAGAUUAUUUUAUUGCAUAUUUAACUUAUAAUUCGGACAAAUUCACAAUAACAAUAAAUAUAUAAUUCAUGAAAUAUUAUGAUAUGAAUCUUAAAUUACAAAUAUGUAAAUUUUAUGAAGUUAUAUAUACUGAAGUAGUCAAUGUCAAUGGUUUUGGCCAAGCACAAAGACAACCACAUUUGAAACUAAAGGAAGAUGGGAGCAGUGCCAAUCUACCCUCUUCCUCUGGAGUUUCUUCAAAGAAUUCUAUUUAUAUAUACCUAUCAAUAUAUAAAUUAAACAGAAAAUAAAGAUAAGAUAAAUAAAAAAACACACUAGAAGCCGGAAACAACUAUCAUUAAAUAAAAGUAGAACGUCUAAAACCUAAAACGUGUAAUUUCAACCUAUUUUUCGCAGCUCGAAACUUGAGAGAUACUUAUAUGGUCAAUUUAUCAUCUGCAGGAAUUCUAUCUUAGACCAAUUAAGGUACAUGUCAACAAAAGGAAUUUACUUGGGCAAGCAACUUAAGUAGUCAUCAUAUUGCAUAACAAGCUAAUGUGAUCCGAUUCUUUCCCUUCACCAUUUAUAUUAAAAAAUUAAGACUGGUCCAUACAUGAAAAUAUUUUUUUAUGUCGCAUAUUAGUCUAACAUUAUUGUCUCAAUAAAAAAGUCUAAUGUCAUGCAUGAACCUUCUCACUCAGUGUAUACAUUUUUAAUUAUUUUCUGUAAAAAAAAAAAGAUUUAAAAAAAUACAUUGCUACUAGCAAAAAUGCCUCCUAAUUACAUAGCUUUGUCAUAUAAGACUCCAAUUGUAUGCUGAGCAAUGAAAGAAGUUAAGAGUCCCUACCUCACUGGCUACAAAUUCUGGAUAGACCUCUACUCCCAAUUCUUCUGCUUUCAUUCCCCACCCAGUGCACCAACUUAAACUGUUACAUAAGGGAAAAAUAAUAGGCUUUUCAGCAAAUGAUUGCCACUAUUAAAUGCAAAAUAAUAUAGUUGCAACAUCAAGCAAAACGAGGAGAAGAGAAAAAUGUAAAUCUGCAGUGGAGUGGAAUGAGCUUGGUAAAAGAGCUGGCAUAUGAUAAAAGAGUUCACUAAUUCCUUCAGACCAAAUAUCUGAAAUGCAAAAACAGAAAGCAGAUUCUGACCACUCAAUUUAGUUUUCAACUAAUAUGGUCAUAACUUGAUUUAAAUCUUUAGAUACUUUUAACUGCAACUCAUGCCACCUUUUGACAUGUUUCAGUUGGAACUGCAAAAGCAUCCAGAGGCCUUGCGGCACACGACAAAACUAGUUAAGGUUUUUCCCCUCAAUAUAUCCUUGUCAUUCCUAAAUCUGUUUAUGGAACCAGAUAGCCAGAUUGAUUUUCUACGACUAUGAAGCAAUAGCUAGCUGUUUCAUAAACUCUUUCAUUCGGCUUGACCAGCUUGCUCGCCUCAUUUUGCUUAAACUCAAGUUUUAGCACUGUAAAGCAAUUGCUGGAGUAGCUGUUUAUCAACUCUUCGUGCAGCUUCACCAUCAGUUGAUGAUCUCAAAAGAUAUUCAACUAAAAAACGGUUCAUAGGAAAUUAGAGGCCAGCUUGUAAACCAUCAAAUUUGAUAUUCAACACCAGACUGCUUACAACUGCUCAUUCCACAACUACCUUAUAACAUAGUUUCCCUUGUUAUCAAAAGAAUAUGCAAGUGGAUAUGAUCAUUUGUAAGGAACUAAAAUUUUUCAGAGUAAACAGGGGCAUUAAUCUUUGCCUGCAAACAGUAAAGGGUCAAGAACAAAUAGAAGAUUUCUUUUGAAAUCUUCACUCUACCUCAAUAGAUUAAUUAUUAUAUACUUACCAAUAAAAUUUUCACCCUACCUCAGUAGAUACAGAUAUUAUAGAUAGUUUCUUUUAUUUCCUAAAAUCUUUUAGACCUACAAUGCAUAGAAGAAAAAUUAAACGGCAGAGAGACAAUCUCCUGCGUCAAUUAGAACUUAAAAAAAAAGUGUUUAACCAUAUAAAGAAAAAAAUCUUUGAAAUAAAAGAUUCUCAAGAUCUAAUUCUAGAUCAUCUUGAAUAAACAGUAUCGGUUCGUGUCAUAAAUUGAAUGAUUCAUAUAUUAAAAAAGAGCUUAGAGUUACUGUAAAUCACAUUAUCAUAGUUAAUAACUUGAAAAGAUAUAGUCAAACAUAAGAAAGAGCUUGGGGAGAAGUUCAUCCAACAAUCUGAUGCAAAAACAUCCCCAAAUAGGAUGUAAGCACCUAACUCAUAGGACAAUCAUCCCAAACCAGCAGCAAUGUAAAACAAAAUCCUCUUCAAUAAGAAAUUAAACUAAUUAAGCCUAAAAGGAAAAAUAGAGAGUAGAAACUAACCUCUUUAAAUCAAAGCCUCAGAUUUCAAGAACAUAAAUGAACUUUUCCAAACUCUAUGCGAUUCAUCUGAGCCAUUAUUUUUUAGAUUCGCAAACAGAUCUCAACUUCAAUUGGAUACAUCCAAAAUAAGGAGAGUAAAACUGUUCUCGGUGAAAAAAAUGAAAUAACCACGACAUCUUUGUUUGGCUCGAAAGAAAAUAAAU